rnacentral:tRNA from 1 species
CUUUCAAUCUCGACGAUUUACUAAAAAUAGAUUAUUAUGAUUUCGAGCAAGCCGCUAUGGUGAAAUCGGUAGACACGCUG